rnacentral:lncRNA from 1 species
CUUGAUUUUCUUAAGAACUUAUUUAAUUUGUUAUUUACUUUCUCCGUCAUUAUACAUGAUAGUGGUUUGUUGGUGUUUUUGUCGAUCUAUGUUGACCUUAAUCAGUGGUAUUUUAUGAUGAAACAAUAAAUUAUGUUUUAUUUUGUCAUGAUUUACCGUGGGGAAAAUGUCACAUGACGAUCACCUGACUACUGUAGUAUUUAUACAUACAAUUAUAGUACUUGGAAUAAGAACUAGGUGUCGCUCACCUUGGUCUAUGUGCAUAUUAAACAAAGGACACGGAUGGAUUCAUGACAAAAUUGUGUUUUUGUGAUGAUGAUGCGUUUGUAGAUCUUACCUUACUGAGCAUUCUUGCUACUUAUAAUUUUAUCUAUCUGUAUUGAACUUGGCUCUU